AGCAGUAGCCGCGGUAACACAGAGGGUGCAAGCGUUAAUCGGAUUUACUGGGCGUAAAGGGCGCGUAGGUGGUCUGUCAAGUCGGAUGUGAAAUCCCCGGGCUCAACCUGGGAACUGCAUUCGAAACUGGCAGGCUAGAGUCUUGUAGAGGGGGGUAGAAUUCCAGGUGUAGCGGUGAAAUGCGUAGAGAUCUGGAGGAAUACCGGUGGCGAAGGCGGCCCCCUGGACAAAGACUGACGCUCAGGUGCGAAAGCGUGGGGAGCAAACAGGAUUAGAUACCCGUGUAGUCCCUGUCUCUUAUAC
rnacentral:rRNA from 1 species